GCCCGAGUGGCGGAAUUGGUAGACGCGCUGGUCUCAAACACCAGUGAGAGCAAUCUCGUGCCGGUUCGAUCCCGGCCUCGGGUA
rnacentral:tRNA from 1 species